rnacentral:rRNA from 1 species
AAAGCGCACGUAGGCGGCUAUUCAAGUCAGAGGUGAAAGCCCGGGGCUCAACCCCGGAACUGCCUUUGAAACUAGGUAGCUAGAAUUCUGGAGAGGUCAGUGGAAUUCCGAGUGUAGAGGUGAAAUUCGUAGAUAUUCGGAAGAACACCAGUGGCGAAGGCGACUGACUGGACAGAUAUUGACGCUGAGGUGCGAAAGCGUGGGGAGCAAACAGGAUUAGAUACCCGAGU